rnacentral:rRNA from 1 species
GGACUACUCGGGUAUCUAAUCCUGUUUGCUCCCCACGCUUUCGCGCCUCAGCGUCAGUAUCGGUCCAGUGAGCCGCCUUCGCCACCGGUGUUCUUCCCAAUAUCUACGAAUUUCACCUCUACACUGGGAAUUCCACUCACCUCUCCCGAACUCAAGCACAAGAGUAUCAAGCGCAAUUCCCAGGUUGAGCCCGGGGCUUUCACGCCUGACUUCUUGCGCCGCCUACGCGCCCUUUACGCCCAGUAAUUCCGAACAACGCUAGCCCCCUUCGUAUUACCGCGGCGGCUGGCAC